rnacentral:rRNA from 1 species
AACGAACGCUGGCGGCAUGCCUAACACAUGCAAGUCGAACGAGACCUUCGGGUCUAGUGGCGCACGGGUUCGUAACGCGUGGGAACCUUCCCUUAUGUUCGGAAUAACUCUCCGAAAGGGGUGCUAAUACCGGAUAAUAUCUUCGGACCAAAGAUUUAUCGCCUUGGGAUGGGCCCGCGUUGGAUUAGCUAGUUGGUAGGGUAAAAGCCUACCAAGGCGACGAUCCAUAGCUGGUACGAGAGGAUGAUCAGCAACACUGGGACUGAGACACGGCCCAGACUCCUCCGGGAGGGCGCAGUGGGGAAUAUGGGACAACGGGCGAAAGCCUGAUCCAGCAAGGCCGCGUGAGUGAUGAAGGCGUUAGGGUUGUAAAGCUCUUUUACCCGGGAUGAUAAUGACAGUACCGGGAGGAUAAGCUCCGGCUAACUCCGU